UAGGAACAAUUCUGUCCGUCACUUUGGAUAAAAGUGUCAGCUAAAUGCCAUAAA
rfam:Astyanax mexicanus chromosome 6, whole genome shotgun sequence.